ensembl:lncRNA
UUCUUUCUUUCUUUCUUUCUUUCUUUCUUUCUUUCUUUCUCCCAAUUACAUUAGGACACCCCAUUCUAAAAAAAUAAUGAGAGAAAAGUAUAGCCACUCAUUUAAUGGCCAAUUCAGAAUAACUUGUCUUCCACAUUUUGAGCUACUUGUAAUAUACAACGUAUUGUGUACAACAGCAGCAGUAACUCUGGGAAUACCAUAUGAGUCAUUUUACAGUGGAUAUAAAAGUCUGUAUGGCCCUGAUUGUCACGGAUUUGUCCUCGCUGCAGCAUGCUCAGCAGCCCGUAGUGCGACAGCGCAUGCUUAUGCUUUAUCAAACUUGAAGGCCCACAAAUCAAGUCACAUACUGUCAUUUCAUCUGCUUUUGCAUUAUGCGGUAUGUGGGAGGUAGAAUUUGU